UACGGAGGGGGCUAGCGUUGUCCGAAGUUACUGGGCGUAAAGCGCGCGUAGGCGGGUUGGUAAGUCCGCUGUGAAAGUCCGGGGCUCAACUCCGGAAUUGCCUUUAAGACUGCAUCGCUAGAAUUGUGGAGAGGUGAGUGGAAUUCCGAGUGUAGAGGUGAAAUUCGUAGAUAUUCGGAAGAACACCAGUGGCGAAGGCGACUUACUGGACACAUAUUGACGCUGAGGUGCGAAAGCGUGGGGAGCAAACAGG
rnacentral:rRNA from 1 species